CCUACGGGAGGCUGCAGUAGGGAAUAUUGGGCAAUGGGCGGAAGCCUGACCCAGCCAUGCCGCGUGAAGGAAGACGGCCUUAUGGGUUGUAAACUUCUUUACUAUGCGACUAACUAGAUUUACGAGAUAAUUCUAUAGAAUGUAGCAUAGCAAAAAGCACCGGCUAACUCCGUGCCAGCAGCCGCGGUAAUACGGAGGGUGCGAGCGUUAUUCGGAAUUACUGGGUUUAAAGGGUGCGUAGGCGGCUAAGUAAGUUGUCAUUGAAAGGCUACAGCUCAACUGUAGUAGUGGUGGCGAUACUGCUUAGCUAAGAACAUGGGAGGGGUACUUGGAAUGUGUGGUGUAGCGGUGAAAUGCGUAGAUAUCACACAGAACACCAGAGGCGAAGGCGGAGUACUAGACCAUAGUUGACGCUGAGGCACGAAAGCGUGGGGAUCAAACAGGAUUAGAUACCCCGGUAGUC
rnacentral:rRNA from 1 species